CUCUUCUUUGUUUUUGCACUUUUGGUGCUUAAGAUAUGUGUGCUCACUACAAGAAAAGUACUUAUUAGUGACUAAUUUAUAGUGACAACCAAAAAUUUGGUCACUAAAAACAUCAUUUAGUCACCAGAUAUUAAGUUGUCACAGAAUUUUAGUAAUCCUACAAAUUUAAUGACCAAUUCUAUGUAGUCGUCAUUAAAUCGGUCACUAAACCAUUAAUAAAAUUAAAAUACUUUUCUCUCGUAUUAUAAUAACUAUUAUAUAAUACUAUUAGUGACUAAAAAUAAUGGUCAUUAUGUUAGAGCACUAGUGACAAAAAAUAGUUGUCACUGAUUACUCUUUAUUAUUUGAAAACCACUUGAAUGCUAUGCGGAUCAACUGUGACCACUCAAUAGUGGUCACUGAAUUACAAAAUGAAAAACAACUGGUGAACCUAAAAUAGAGUAGUCAGUAGCUAAGAUUUUCAAUUAACGAAGAUUAAAAUAUUUUUAAUUAAUAUUUUUUCAUUUUGAAAAUGACUACGAGUUUUCAUAAUUUUCCAAAAACUCUUUACAUCUGAUUAGUCCUUAUCAAAGUUUCGUGUGCACUCAUCCACAACUAAUCAAAACCCUUUUAUCAAUACAUAUUUACUAUACUACCCUUCUCAGGUAUGGGUGAUAUAAAAUCAUUCUUUUGUCUUUUCCAUUUGUGCUGUUUCAUAAUUAAAGAAAUCAAUUUGUCUUUCUAUUAUUAUACGGAGGAAAAAGAUGAAUUUUCAUAGCAAUGUUCAAACUUUAGAGUGAAAAGUCAUUUUGCCUCUCGUCAACACAUCUCUCCUCAUAGUUUGCCCUAAAUCGACACACCAACCAUCGACGGUUCGGCACUAGUGUCGUCGGUCCAUCGUCGCUCCAAACCCUCCCAUCGACGCACAUUUGGUCUCCACUCGAAGUCAAACAGAUAAUAUCAUAGCAACUAGAAACAUGACUUUCUCAACAAACAGAAAAGCUUGAUUUUCUAUCAUUAACCUAAAAGUGUCCGUCUUCUCUCGCCUAACAGCUGACGCUCCUCCACAUCGCGCCUUUCCAAAUUCGCAGCUCCUUCCAUCGCCUCCGACAUCUCCACCGUCCCACCCCUCCCACACCUCCGGCGCCACCAUCGCACAGCAGAACUCCGACUCCUAUGCAGGAUCUUCAGAUGCUAAGGAGCAGAUUCAUAAGCUCACACACGUUCCCAGGAGUUGGAGAAGCAGGUGGAGAAACUACAGUUGAAAUUCGAUCUCAAACCCAGGAUAAUGGAGGCUUUGGAAACUAGAUUGAAAGAAUUGGAGCAGAAGAUGCUUGAUAUAAAUCCAAAGCUUCAAGAGAAAAACUGGUGUUGACAAAAUAUCAAAGAAUACAUAAACUUGUAGAUUUUGUCAAAGAUAAAGAGCAAGAUAAAGAUUUGCUAAAACAGGUAGUUACCGAGAUAAUGAUUGCCAAAGCAGGGGCAUAUUGUUAGAUGGCUCCAGACUCCAGAUAUUAGGACACUAAGGCAAGGAGAAAAGAAGCAUUACAACCAAAAAGUAGACGGAUAUAUCUUUACAAUUGUAUUAUGGGAACUUUUACACAACAAACUACCCUUUGAGGAUAUGUACAACCUCCAAGCUGCUUAUCUGCAACUUUCAAGGUAAAAAAGUAAUUUUUAUAUCAUCUCCUAAAGGGUAAAAUAGUAAAACAAGAGGGGUAUAAUUGUAAUUUUUACUUGCUUUUUAUCAUUCAAAAUGUGAGUCUAAGUUUUGGAAGAUCUACCAGAAGAUUUAGCAAUGAUUAUGAGUUCAUGUUGGAUGGAGGACUCAGAUUCUCUCAAUUCAGUUACAUUAUUUUUCGACAAUUUUGAGUAUUCUAGUUAAUCAGCUAGUGAAUUCCAUGCUUAGAAGAGGUGGUUUCCGAACGCCAUUAAAACCACGAGAAGCAACACCAUUUCUUACUCCAUCUCUUGGACAAGGAAUAGUCAACACAUCAUCUUUGACUCACCAACCUCAACCUGCUUCUCUGGGGCUCUUCUUUUUGCUGCUUGCUAACACUACAUGUAAACAUUAAUCUAUUUCUUGAUAAUGUCUUUUUGAUAUACAGAUAGAUUAAAUUGCAGAUUCUGAGCAUAUCUUGAAGAGAGCAACAAGGCCUUUGUGAUAUCAGAGGAGAGGUUAAGGAUGGCAUAUCAUGCUUGAAAGCAGCAAAACAAGGCGGUGGAUUGCAAUGAAACUUAUUUGUUCCUUUGUUGGCAAUGAGAUGCAAUUUUAUUUUAUUUUUUACUUUUUUAUAUUUUCAUGGCAAAUAGAGGUUGAAUCCAUUUUCUUUGAAUAUUUUGUAUUAUCCUUUGUCUAAAUUUGAAUAUAUGAUAUUUUUACUUUAGUCA